rnacentral:rRNA from 1 species
GGUUAAGCGACUAAGCGUACACGGUGGAUGCCCUGGCAGUCAGAGGCGAUGAAGGACGUGCUAAUCUGCGAUAAGCGUCGGUAAGGUGAUAUGAACCGUUAUAACCGGCGAUUUCCGAAUGGGGAAACCCAGUGUGUUUCGACACACUAUCAUUAACUGAAUCCAUAGGUUAAUGAGGCGAACCGGGGGAACUGAAACAUCUAAGUACCCCGAGGAAAAGAAAUCAACCGAGAUUCCCCCAGUAGCGGCGAGCGAACGGGGAGGAGCCCAGAGCCUGAAUCAGUGUGUGUGUUAGUGGAAGCGUCUGGAAAGGCGCGCGAUACAGGGUGACAGCCCCGUACACAAAAAUGCACAUAUUGUGAGCUCGAUGAGUAGGGCGGGACACGUGGUAUCCUGUCUGAAUAUGGGGGGACCAUCCUCCAAGGCUAAAUACUCCUGACUGACCGAUAGUGAACCAGUACCGUGAGGGAAAGGCGAAAAGAACCCCGGCGAGGGGAGUGAAAAAGAACCUGAAACCGUGUACGUACAAGCAGUGGGAGCCUCUUAAUGGGGUGACUGCGUACCUUUUGUAUAAUGGGUCAGCGACUUAUAUUCUGUAGCAAGGUUAACCGAAUAGGGGAGCCGAAGGGAAACCGAGUCUUAACUGGGCGUUAAGUUGCAGGGUAUAGACCCGAAACCCGGUGAUCUAGCCAUGGGCAGGUUGAAGGUUGGGUAACACUAACUGGAGGACCGAACCGACUAAUGUUGAAAAAUUAGCGGAUGACUUGUGGCUGGGGGUGAAAGGCCAAUCAAACCGGGAGAUAGCUGGUUCUCCCCGAAAGCUAUUUAGGUAGCGCCUCGUGAAUUCAUCUCCGGGGGUAGAGCACUGUUUCGGCAAGGGGGUCAUCCCGACUUACCAACCCGAUGCAAACUGCGAAUACCGGAGAAUGUUAUCACGGGAGACACACGGCGGGUGCUAACGUCCGUCGUGAAGAGGGAAACAACCCAGACCGCCAGCUAAGGUCCCAAAGUCAUGGUUAAGUGGGAAACGAUGUGGGAAGGCCCAGACAGCCAGGAUGUUGGCUUAGAAGCAGCCAUCAUUUAAAGAAAGCGUAAUAGCUCACUGGUCGAGUCGGCCUGCGCGGAAGAUGUAACGGGGCUAAACCAUGCACCGAAGCUGCGGCAGCGACACUAUGUGUUGUUGGGUAGGGGAGCGUUCUGUAAGCCUGUGAAGGUGGCCUGUGAGGGUUGCUGGAGGUAUCAGAAGUGCGAAUGCUGACAUAAGUAACGAUAAAGCGGGUGAAAAGCCCGCUCGCCGGAAGACCAAGGGUUCCUGUCCAACGUUAAUCGGGGCAGGGUGAGUCGACCCCUAAGGCGAGGCCGAAAGGCGUAGUCGAUGGGAAACAGGUUAAUAUUCCUGUACUUGGUGUUACUGCGAAGGGGGGACGGAGAAGGCUAUGUUGGCCGGGCGACGGUUGUCCCGGUUUAAGCGUGUAGGCUGGUUUUCCAGGCAAAUCCGGAAAAUCAAGGCUGAGGCGUGAUGACGAGGCACUACGGUGCUGAAGUGACAAAUGCCCUGCUUCCAGGAAAAGCCUCUAAGCAUCAGGUAACAUCAAAUCGUACCCCAAACCGACACAGGUGGUCAGGUAGAGAAUACCAAGGCGCUUGAGAGAACUCGGGUGAAGGAACUAGGCAAAAUGGUGCCGUAACUUCGGGAGAAGGCACGCUGAUAUGUAGGUGAAGCGACUUGCUCGUGGAGCUGAAAUCAGUCGAAGAUACCAGCUGGCUGCAACUGUUUAUUAAAAACACAGCACUGUGCAAACACGAAAGUGGACGUAUACGGUGUGACGCCUGCCCGGUGCCGGAAGGUUAAUUGAUGGGGUUAGCGGUAACGCGAAGCUCUUGAUCGAAGCCCCGGUAAACGGCGGCCGUAACUAUAACGGUCCUAAGGUAGCGAAAUUCCUUGUCGGGUAAGUUCCGACCUGCACGAAUGGCGUAAUGAUGGCCAGGCUGUCUCCACCCGAGACUCAGUGAAAUUGAACUCGCUGUGAAGAUGCAGUGUACCCGCGGCAAGACGGAAAGACCCCGUGAACCUUUACUAUAGCUUGACACUGAACAUUGAGCCUUGAUGUGUAGGAUAGGUGGGAGGCUUUGAAGUGUGGACGCCAGUCUGCAUGGAGCCGACCUUGAAAUACCACCCUUUAAUGUUUGAUGUUCUAACGUUGGCCCGUAAUCCGGGUUGCGGACAGUGUCUGGUGGGUAGUUUGACUGGGGCGGUCUCCUCCUAAAGAGUAACGGAGGAGCACGAAGGUUGGCUAAUCCUGGUCGGACAUCAGGAGGUUAGUGCAAUGGCAUAAGCCAGCUUGACUGCGAGCGUGACGGCGCGAGCAGGUGCGAAAGCAGGUCAUAGUGAUCCGGUGGUUCUGAAUGGAAGGGCCAUCGCUCAACGGAUAAAAGGUACUCCGGGGAUAACAGGCUGAUACCGCCCAAGAGUUCAUAUCGACGGCGGUGUUUGGCACCUCGAUGUCGGCUCAUCACAUCCUGGGGCUGAAGUAGGUCCCAAGGGUAUGGCUGUUCGCCAUUUAAAGUGGUACGCGAGCUGGGUUUAGAACGUCGUGAGACAGUUCGGUCCCUAUCUGCCGUGGGCGCUGGAGAACUGAGGGGGGCUGCUCCUAGUACGAGAGGACCGGAGUGGACGCAUCACUGGUGUUCGGGUUGUCAUGCCAAUGGCACUGCCCGGUAGCUAAAUGCGGAAGAGAUAAGUGCUGAAAGCAUCUAAGCACGAAACUUGCCCCGAGAUGAGUUCUCCCUGACUCCUUGAGAGUCCUGAAGGAACGUUGAAGACGACGACGUUGAUAGGCCGGGUGUGUAAGCGCAGCGAUGCGUUGAGCUAACCGGUACUAAUGAACCGUGAGGCUUAACCUU